rfam:[Clostridium] sordellii strain JGS6382 genome assembly, chromosome: 1
UUAAAUACUAUGAAAGAGAAGAGUAUUUUAAUUAAACUUAGUACAGAGAUAAGUGCCUAGGCUGAAAGUACUUUCUAAGAAAUUAAGAGAAGUUCGCUCUGGAGUAUCAUAUCUGAAGAUAUAGUAGGAUAUGACGUUAUAAAACGCGUUAAGUUUUUCGAGUGGUUUGAUUCAUCUUAUGAAUUUAAACUACUAGGGUGGUACCGCGAAAUAAUAGUCUUUCGUCCCUAGA